CUUGAGUCAGGUAGAGGUCAUCCACUCAUGAUAGGAAGCCUUGAGACCGCUCGGAUUAUGCUGAGUGAUCUUCCCAUGAGAUGUCUGGGUAAUUGAAGUCACCCAUGAUAACCAUGGCAUGCGGCCUCAGCCAGUUCCCGGGUGAACUCCUGGUCAAGCUCUUGACUUCGGGUGGGAGGUCUGUAGUAGACUCCCACUGUUGUGUCCCCUGUGCUGUGUUCCCCAUGGAUUUUAACCCAGAGGGUCUCCAGUCAUCAACCCUGGUCACCAACAUCAGCUUGCAGGGACGCUUAGCUUUCCUUCACAUAGAGAGCUACACCCCUGCCCCUUUUAUCUACUUGAUCCCUCCUGUACAGGAUAUAGCCAUCAAUACCCAUGGUCCAGUCAUGGCUGGAGUCCCACCAGGUCUCCGUUAUCCCUAUGACAUCAUAAUUAUUUGCGUUAAGCAGGAGAACAAAUUGCUUAAUACAAUAAGUGCCCUGGUGUCUGUUGCAUGGCUGAGUAAACCAGCUCGAGACCCUGCCUUCCUAUUCCAACAGACAGUUAGGCUUGUCAGCCGGAGUCGUCAGGGUCUUCUGCAAGGAUACUAUGGGGUAACCCCCUCCUGUAGGAAGGAGAGCAUACAGCAUUUCUGGAGACUCUUCUUGCAGCUGUGGACAUCGAGGGUCACAAUAUUAAACAAACUCAUGGCUGGAUGGGGGUGGAAUAGAUGGUUUGGCAGGGACCUUGGACACCUCAAUGCUUGGUGUGGGGUUCACCAGCUUGUGCAGCGCCCUCCCAUAAGCAUAGAAAGCAUCUACGAAACUGUGGGUCCCCCUAUAGUUCUGGAGGUUGCAAUGCUUGUGGUGCAAGGCAAGCUGCAGCUUACUGAAGGACCACUGGGUUUACUUGCAGUCAAGAAAUGCAAGUAGCUUACCACUGGGGACCGCCCAGGCCAAGAGGUAUGUAGGCUCCAUGGAGCCCACCAGUUCUUGGGUGUUCUUCUCCUGGUCCUGGGGCUCAGUGGGCUCCUUAGGCACCGUCUGAACCCCUUGAUCCGCUAAGACCCUGGAUUCUGGUUGGGAUUGGGACAGCUCUGCAACCCUUGAGACGGUGGUG
rnacentral:lncRNA from 1 species